CCUACGGGCGGCAGCAGUGAGGAAUCUUGGUCAAUGGACGAAAGUCUGAACCAGCCACGCCGCGUGAAGGAAGACUGCCCUCUGGGUUGUAAACUUCUUUUAUAUGGGAGUAAAAUGUUCCACGUGUGUGAUUUUGUAUGUACCAUAUGAAUAAGGAUCGGCUAACUACGUGCCAGCAGCCGCGGUAAUACGGAGGAUCCGAGCGUUAUCCGGAUUUAUUGGGUUUAAAGGGAGCGUAGGUGGAUUGUUAAGUCAGUUGUGAAAGUUUGCGGCUCAACCGUACAAGUGCAGUUGAAACUGGCAGUCUUGAGUACAGUAGAGGUGGGCGGAAUUCGUGGUGUAGCGGUGAAAUGCUUAGAUAUCACGAAGAACUCCGAUUGCGAAGGCAGCUCACUGGACUGCAACUGACGCUGAGGCUCGAAAGUGUGGGUAGCAAACAGGAUUAGAUACCCGAGUAGUC
rnacentral:rRNA from 1 species